UUCGAUACGCUUAUCAGAGCAUCUGGGACGAUAACGGAGUUUCCGCAGGUGAAAGUGUUUCGCGUGGCUUUCAUGUACUUGGCGUAAGUCGUGAGCAAGAAUGUUAUGGCAGUUACGUAUUGCAGAUUGCUCUGAGAGGAGGAAACAUGCUAUAUCGAUUCUUGUUGAGGAACGUGUGUUUAAGUCACCUUGAGUGUAUUGUGUAGAGGAGGAAGGAGAGUUUGGAAGGAUCUUGCACAUGAAAUUCUCAGCUGCUUGCUUGUAUGGUUCAAAGUUGCUGUCUUUAUUAAGUAAUGCUCGCUGCAAAAUAGUAAUAACAAGCUCUGCGAAUUAGUGAGUCAAAUAGUGUGAUCCUAAGCUAUAUGCUUAUCGACUUUUUUCUUUGAUAGCAGCGAGACACACCCGUGAGAGAAGAACAUAGGCACCAGCAUACUUAUUGUCCCAGCUGAAAAUGUCAGGCUGAUCUCCACCUCCUAAAGAUUGUAUGAAGUUUGCAUAAUAAGGGUUAUUGGUUGCUUUCAACAACCACGACGCUCCCCACAUCAGUUCGUCCUGUCAUCAUAAGUUCACAAUUAAUAUUUAGGACCCGAUUUAGUGAUUAAAGUGGUUGCAAAGUUGCAAUGAUUCAUUGUGAUUUGGAAAGAGAUGGAACAUAUGAAAUCAGACCUUGUAACCAGAGUAGGAGCAGUAGAAAGGACAGACGGAUGAAGAAAGGGAAUCACUGUAAGCGCCUCUGUACUGAAUUGCAAACUGCAUCACUUUCUUAGCUGUUGCCAGAAGCAAACGCGAAUACUUGGAAUCAACUUUCCUGAAAACCAUGGAAGCUGCAGCCAGAGCUGCUGCGGUUUCAGCUGCGACAUCAGAACCAGGGUUAGAAGAGGAAACAGAGUAGACUGUACGAGGUGUGUCCAUGUCUUCAGGCCGUUCCCAGCAUUUAUGAUCAACAUUAGGAUCUCCUACCCCAACAUAAAGCUUGCCCGGAGUGGCUCUUGCACAUUUCAGGAGAUAAUCCGUUGCCCAACGGAUGUUCACACGUGCGUUUUGAAGCUCAGGACCUAAUCGCUUGCCGUACUCAAGUGUGCUCCAUGAGAGCAUCGUGGUGGUAAACGCCAUUGGGAAAUUGAACUUGAUGUUGUCUCCUGCGUCGUAGUAUCCACCGGUUUCAUGGUUUUUGAGGGUGUACAUGAGCGGAGGAACCAUCGGAAAGGCCGGAGCUAGCCCUCCAGGAGAGUUGUUGGUCUCUAGGGAGACGACCGGAUCGCUGACCUUGGAAGAAGAGCAAUGACUUGGAGAGAGCUUCUCUGUAAUUUGGAUUGGCAUCAACAUUUCCCAUGAAAAGAGACGAGAAAAGGAAAACGAAGUAGAAAGGAGAAGUCAUUUUCCAAAGACGGAGAAGUUAAUUACUUUUUGAGUUUUGAGGUACGAGUCUAAGAUAAGAAGGUCCACAUAUAUAUACACAGAAAUGGGGGAGAGAGAGAGAUGCAGAGAUAGGAGAGAGAUUGAUCCGGCGCUGAUGGAAGCGAUAAAUAUGGCUUUUUGG